UGUAAGCCUUUGAUGUAAAAUUACAGUUAAAUCUGAACAGUAUUUUACUGUAUCACUGCCAUACAGUAUCAUACUGUAAACUGCAAUGCAAUCUGGGAGAAAAAAAAAAGAUUACAGCAAUUUCAGAGAAUGUCAUUCUUUUUACAAUAUUACUGCACUUUUACUGUAAACUGCUAAGCAUUAUGGGAAGGUGAAAGAAAAAGUGCGGGAAAACAGGAUUCCAUCGGUCCUCGGAAAAACUGCUCAGCCAACUGCAGAUGCCUGGAGCUGCCCAACGUCCUCCACACUGUUCACAGAGAGUCUGCCACACCUGCACUUGUGCAGAUGACAGUCACGCUUGCCUGACACACCACGUUUGAUUGUGACUGGUCAUAUGGCACAGGCAAACCGAUGGAUGUUGAGCAUCGAGAAAGAGGUGUUAUGUGAUGGGACAUCCUUUGUUCUUGGCCUUGCAGUAGUCUUCUCCUCCUACUACAAUUUUGACCUGCAGUACCAACAUGAAGCAGCAUGCACAUUGGAGUUCAUUCAGAGAAACUGCAUUGACAUCAACCCGGAGAGAGGCACAAAAGCAAGCCAUGAGAUGGUGAAAAGCAAGAAGAGCGGCAAGAUGGUCCAGAAGAAGUCAACAUCUGUGAAUCCGCAUGUCAGCACACUCAUCGAGAAGAUCAGUGAUUUCAAGUGGGACUUUGUCUGAUACACACGCAUACACAUUAGGGGUAUGACAAAAUAACGAUGCACGAUGUUAUAUGUUGCGGUGU